AUUGAACGCUGGCGGCAUGCCUUACACAUGCAAGUCGAACGGUAACAGGUCUUCGGAUGCUGACGAGUGGCGAACGGGUGAGUAAUACAUCGGAACGUGCCUAGUAGUGGGGGAUAACUACUCGAAAGAGUGGCUAAUACCGCAUGAGAUCUACGGAUGAAAGCAGGGGAUCGCAAGACCUUGUGCUACUAGAGCGGCCGAUGGCAGAUUAGGUAGUGGGUGGGAUAAAAGCGUACCAAGCCGACGAUCUGUAGCUGGUCUGAGAGGACGAUGGCCAACACUGGGACUGAGACAGGGACCAGACGCCUACGGGGGGCAGCAGUGGGGAAUUUUGGCCAAUGGGCGCAAGCCUGACCCAGCAAUGCCGAGUGCAGGAUGAAGGCCUUCGGGUUGUAAACUGCUUUUGUACGGAACGAAAAGGCCUGGGUUAAUACCCUGGGGUCAUGACGGUACCGUAAGAAUAAGCACCGGCUAACUACGUGCCAGCCGCCGCCGUAAUAC
rnacentral:rRNA from 1 species